UGAGUACGAGAUGCUACGGCGUCGAAGCAGUCUAUGUCAUACUUCCAAGAAAAGCUUGCACUGUCAUAAACAAAUAAUGCCUGUACCAUAACCGACACAGGUGGGUAGGUAGAGUAUACUAAGGGGCGCGAGAUAACUCUCUCUAAGGAACUCGGCAAAAUGACUCCGUAACUUCGGGAGAAGGAGUGCCUUAUUUAUAAGGUUGCAAUAACAAGACCCAAGCAACUGUUUAUCAAAAACACAGGUCUCCGCUAAGUCGUAAGACGAUGUAUGGGGGCUGACGCCUGCCCAGUGCCAGAAGGUUAAAGAAGUUGGUUAGCUUUUGCGAAGCUGAUGACUGAAGCCCUGGUGAACGGCGGCCGUAACAAUAACGGUCCUAAGGUAGCGAAAUUCCUUGUCGGGUAAGUUCCGACCCGCACGAAAGGCGUAAUGAUUUGGGUACUGUCUCAGAGAGGGACUCGGUGAAAUAGACUUGUCUGUGAAGAUGCGGACUACCUGCACCUGGACAGAAAGACCCUAUGAAGCUUUACUGUAACUUGAAAUUGAAAUUGGACUUUAUUUGCGCAGUAUAGGUGGGAGGCUUUGAAGAUAUUCUUGCGGGAAUGUUGGAGCCAUCAGUGAGAUACCACUCUUGUAAUGUUAGAUUUCUAACUUUGUAUCAUUAUCUGGUCAAAGAACAGUUUCAGGCGGGCAGUUUGACUGGGGCGGUCGCCUCCUAAACGGUAACGGAGGCGCACAAAGGUUUCCUCUGAACGGGUAGAAAUCGUAUCUAGAGUGUAAAGGCAUAAGGAAGCUUGACUGUGAGACCUACAAGUCGAGCAGGGACGAAAGUCGGUCUUAGUGAUCUGACGGUGCUGAGUGGAAAGGCCGUCACUCAACGGAUAAAAGUUACUCUAGGAUAACAGGCUGAUCUCCCCCAAGAGUUCACAUCGACGGGGAGGUUUGGCACCACGAUGUCGGCUCAUCGCAUCCUGGGGCGGUAGUACGUCCCAAGGGUUGGGCUGUUCGCCCAUGAAAGCGGUACGCGAGCUGGGUUCAGAACGUCGUGAGACAGUUCGGUCCAUAUCCGGUGUAGGCGUUAGAAUAUUGAGAGGAGCCUUCUCUAGUACGAGAGGACCGAGAAGGACAUACCUCUGGUGUACCAGUUAUCGUGCCAACGGUAAACGCUGGGUAGCUAUGUGUGGAGUGGAUAACCGCUGAAAGCAUCUAAGUGGGAAGCCCACCUCAAGAUAAGUAUUCUCAUCAG
rnacentral:rRNA from 1 species